rnacentral:misc_RNA from 1 species
UCCGGGUUAGUCCCGGCGGUCCCGCCAGACUUCGUAACUGACGGCAGGGGUUGCGCUCGUUGCGGGACUUAACCCAACACCUCACGGCACGAGCUGACGACAGCCGUGCAGCACCUGCACAGGCUCCCUUGCGGGUCCCUUGGCUUUCGCCUCAGUACCACCUGUGCGGGCUCCGAAGAGCACCGUGUUUCCACGGUUUCACCCCGCAUGUCAAGCCCAGGUAAGGUUCUUCGCGUUGCGUCGAAUUAAACCACAUGCUCCGCUGCUUGUGCGGGUCCCCGUCAAUUCCUUUGAGUUUUAGCCUUGCGGCCGUACUCCCCAGGCGGGGCACUUAAUGCGUUAGCUCCGGCACGGGAGGAGUCGACACCUCCCACACCUAGUGCCCAUCGUUUACGGCGUG